AUUGAACGCUGGCGGCAGGCCUAACACAUGCAAGUCGAACGAGUGGCGGACGGGUGAGUAAUGUCUGGAAAACUGCCUGAUGGAGGGGGAUAACUACUGGAAACGGUGGCUAAUACCGCAUACCAUCGGAUGUGCCCAGAUGGGCUUGGCUAGUAGGUGGGGUAAAGGCUCACCUAGGCGACGGUCCCUAGCUGGUCCGAGAGGAUGACCGGCCCCACUGGAACUGAGACACGGUCCAGACGCCUACGGGAGGCAGCAGUGGGGAAUAUUGCACAAUGGGCGAAAGCCUGAUGCAGCCAUGCCGCGUGUAGGAAGAAGGCUUGCGGGUGGUAAAGUACUUUCAGCGGGGAGGCGUUACCCGAAGAAGAAGCACCGGCUAACUCCGUGCCAGCAGCCGCGGUAAUUC
rnacentral:rRNA from 1 species